UACGAACUGUGCAAACGUUAUUCGGAUUCACUGGCUUAAAGGGUGCGUAGGCGGCCAUGUAAGUAGGGUGUGAAAUCCCCCGGCUUAACCGGGGAACUGCGCCCUAAACUGUAUGGCUGGAGUGAGAUAGGGGUGUGUGGAACUUCCGGUGGAGCGGUGAAAUGUGUUGAUAUCGGAAGGAACGCCGGUGGCGAAAGCGACACACUGGGUCUCAACUGACGCUGAGGCGCGAAAGCUAGGGGAGCAAACGGGG
rnacentral:rRNA from 1 species